GUAGGUGGCGAGCGUUGUCCGGAAUUACUGGGUGUAAAGGGAGUGUAGGCGGGAAGGCAAGUCAGAAGUGAAAAUUAUGGGCUUAACCCAUAACCUGCUUUUGAAACUGUUUUUCUUGGGUGAGGCAGAGGCAAGCGGAAUUCCUAGUGUAGCGGUGAAAUGCGUAGAUAUUAGGAGGAACACCAGUGGCGAAGGCGGCUUGCUGGGCCUUUACUGACGCUGAGGCUCGCAAGCGUGGGGAGCAAACAGGAUUAGAUACCCUGGUAGUCCACGCCGUAAACGAUGAUCACUAGGUGUGGGGAGUUGAACCUUUCCGUGCCGGAGUUAACACAAUAAGUGAUCCACCUGGGGAGU
rnacentral:rRNA from 1 species